GUGAGGAAUUUUCCGCAAUGGGCGAAAGCCUGACGGAGCAAUGCCGCGUGAAGGAUGAAGGCCUAUGGGUUGUAAACUUCUUUUCUCAGAAAAGAAUUAUGACGGUAUCUGAGGAAUAAGCAUCGGCUAACUCUGUGCCAGCAGCCGCGGUAAGACAGAGGAUGCAAGCGUUAUCCGGAAUGAUUGGGCGUAAAGCGUCUGUAGGUUGUUUAAAAAGUAUUCUGUCAAAGAUUAGGGCUUAACCCUAGAUAGGCAGAAUAAACUUUUAAGCUAGAGUUAGGUAGAGGCAGAGAGAAUUCCCGGUGGAGCGGUGAAAUGCGUAGAUAUCGGGAGGAACACCAAAGGCGAAGGCACUCUGCUGGGCCAAUACUAACACUGAGAGACGAAAGCGAGGGGAGCAAAUGGGAUUAGAAACCCCAGUAGUCC
rnacentral:rRNA from 1 species